GAUGAACGCUAGCUACAGGCUUAACACAUGCAAGUCGAGGGGAAACGACAUCGAAAGCUUGCUUUUGGUGGGCGUCGACCGGCGCACGGGUGAGUAACGCGUAUCCAACCUGCCCACCACUUGGGGAUAACCUUGCGAAAGUAAGACUAAUACCCAAUGAUAUCCCACGAAGGCAUCCGAAUGGGAUUAAAGAUUUAUCGGUGAUGGAUGGGGAUGCGUCUGAUUAGCUUGUUGGCGGGGUAACGGCCCACCAAGGCAACGAUCAGUAGGGGUUCUGAGAGGAAAGUCCCCCACAUUGGAACUGAGACACGGUCCAAACUCCUACGGGAGGCAGCAGUGAGGAAUAUUGGUCAAUGGGCGAGAGCCUGAACCAGCCAAGUAGCGUGCAGGAUGACGGCCCUAUGGGUUGUAAACUGCUUUUAUGCGGGGAUAAAGUGGGCCACGUGUGGCCCUUUGCAGGUACCGCAUGAAUAAGGACCGGCUAAUUCCGUG
rnacentral:rRNA from 1 species